GGGUGUAUAGCUUAGUUGGUAGAGCAUUGGGCUUUUAACCUAACGGUCGCAGGUUCAAGUCCUGCUAUACCCA
rfam:Triticum aestivum genome assembly, contig: Triticum_aestivum_CS42_TGACv1_scaffold_576777_7BL